UACGUAGGUGGCUAGCGUUGUCCGGAUUUACUGGGCGUAAAGAGCGCGCAGGCGGUCGUUCAAGUCGAGUGUGAAAGCCCCCGGCUCAACUGGGGAGGGUCACUCGAUACUGAUCGACUUGAAGGCGGGAGAGGGAAGCGGAAUUCCCGGUGUAGUGGUGAAAUGCGUAGAGAUGCGGAGGAACACCGAUGGCGAAGGCAGCCCCCUGGGCCAACACUGACGCUCAGGCACGAAAGCGUGGGGAGCAAACAGG
rnacentral:rRNA from 1 species